GACGAACGCUGGCGGCGUGCCUAAUACAUGCAAGUAGAACGCUGAAGAGAGGAGCUUGCUCUUCUUGGAUGAGUUGCGAACGGGUGAGUAACGCGUAGGUAACCUGCCUGGUAGCGGGGGAUAACUAUUGGAAACGAUAGCUAAUACCGCAUAAAAUGGAUUAUCGCAUGAUAAUCGAUUGAAAGGUGCAAAUGCAUCACUACCAGAUGGACCUGCGUUGUAUUAGCUAGUUGGUGGGGUAACGGCUCACCAAGGCGACGAUACAUAGCCGACCUGAGAGGGUGAUCGGCCACACUGGGACUGAGACACGGCCCAGACUCCUACGGGAGGCAGCAGUAGGGAAUCUUCGGCAAUGGACGGAAGUCUGACCGAGCAACGCCGCGUGAGUGAAGAAGGUUUUCGGAUCGUAAAGCUCUGUUGUAAGAGAAGAACGAGUGUGAGAGUGGAAAGNUCACACNGNGACGG
rnacentral:rRNA from 1 species